CAGCCGCCGCGGUAAUACGGAGGGAGCUAGCGUUGUUCGGAAUUACUGGGCGUAAAGCGCACGUAGGCGGUUAUUCAAGUCAGAGGUGAAAGCCCGGGGCUCAACCCCGGAACUGCCUUUGAGACUGGAAGGCUUGAACGUCGGAGAGGUGAGUGGAACUCCGAGUGUAGAGGUGAAAUUCGUAGAUAUUCGGAAGAACACCAGUGGCGAAGGCGGCUCACUGGACGACUGUUGACGCUGAGGUGCGAAAGCGUGGGGAGCAAACAGGAUUAGAUACCCCCGUAGUCCCUGUCUCUUAUAC
rnacentral:rRNA from 1 species